UACGUAGGUGGCAAGCGUUGUCCGGAAUUAUUGGGCGUAAAGAGCUCGUAGGCGGUUUGUUGCGUCGGCCGUGAAAACCUGCAGCUUAACUGUGGGCCUGCGGCCGAUACGGGCAGACUUGAGUUCGGUAGGGGAGACUGGAAUUCCUGGUGUAGCGGUGAAAUGCGCAGAUAUCAGGAGGAACACCGGUGGCGAAGGCGGGUCUCUGGGCCGAUACUGACGCUGAGGAGCGAAAGCGUGGGGAGCGAACAGG
rnacentral:rRNA from 1 species